GAUGAACGCUAGCGGCAGGCCUAAUACAUGCAAGUCGAACGGUGUCUUCGGACAUAGUGGCGCACGGGUGCGUAACACGUAUGCAACCUACCUUACAUUGGGGGAUAGCCUUUCGAAAGGGAGAUUAAUACCGCAUAAGACAGUAGCUGGGCAUCCAGCAGCUGUUAAAGAUUUAUCGAUGUAAGCUGGGCAUGCGUCCAAUUAGCUAGUUGGUGAGGUAACGGCUCACCAAGGCAAUGAUUGGUAGGGGAACUGAGAGGUCAAUCCCCCACACUGGCACUGAGAUACGGGCCAGACUCCUACGGGAGGCAGCAGUAGGGAAUAUUGGGUAAUGGACGCAAGUCUGACCCAGCCAUGCCGCGUGCAGGAUGAAGGCGUUAUGCGUUGUAAACUGCUUUUAUACAGGAAGAAACGACUCUUGCGAGAGGCAUUGACGGUACUGUAUGGAUAAGCACCGGCUAACUCCGUGCCAGCAGCCGCCGUAAAAC
rnacentral:rRNA from 1 species